rnacentral:misc_RNA from 1 species
UCCUGCGUUGCUUGCCUAACGGGACGGAAAUUGACCCUAGAUGAGUCCUAAUGCUCUCCUCUCACCGAUUUGUGGUGUUAGGUUGACGGGGAAGUACUGCCCAUUCUCCUUGAUUGCUUCGCUCUUCGCGUUGUGAUUGGGGCCCAUGGGUGGCUACGAGUUUCGCUCGGAUGCAAAACUGUCGAAUGGUUCACGGCAUGUAGUUGUUGUUUACCCACACUAAGCGUUCGUCGCUCGAUGCGCACGACGGCUGUGCCCGUCUGGGUCCCCUCUUCCAACUCGUUUGGAUGGGGCUCAUGGGGUGCUGGCGUCGCGAAGGAAUGUUACCUGGUUGAUCCUGCCAGUAGUCAUAUGCUUGUCUCAA